rnacentral:rRNA from 1 species
UACAGAGGGUGCAAGCGUUAAUCGGAAUUACUGGGCGUAAAGCGUGCGUAGACGGUUAUUUAAGUCAGGUGUGAAAGCCCCGGGCUCAACCUGGGAAUUGCAUUUGAGACUGCGUAGCUAGGGUGCGGAAGAGGGAAGCGGAAUUUCCGGUGUAGCGGUGAAAUGCGUAGAUAUCGGAAGGAACAUCAGUGGCGAAAGCGGCUUCCUGGUCCAGCACCGACGUUCAGGCACGAAAGCGUGGGGAGCAAACAGG